CCUUGUGGUGCUUUUCUUUCUGGCAUACUUGUUAAGUUUUCAAAUAGGCCUGGCUCUGCUGCAUGUAUUAUAUAUACAUCCAGUGUUUUUGCUAGUCAUAUCAGUCUUUCUUUUACAUGGUUACACAGUU